rnacentral:sRNA from 1 species
CCAUGACCCAUUAGCGAGUGUGGACGCAGGGAGCGGGUGUCGGUGGGUGCGUGAUGGGAAGUAUGGAGCAGAGUAACAGGAUGUCAGAGGAAGGGAUGGGGUCAGUGGGGACUGUGAUGGAGAGGUUUUUUGGGGGCCCCGAUGUGAAAUCUGCAGGCAGAGUGGGGAUCCCUGCUGACCAUGGUGGAGCUGUAAUGGGGGGAUGAGCCGCCACGGUGGGGGCUGUUUAAGGAUCCGUAAUGGGGGUGUCCUGCAGGAGGGAGAUGGUUCAGACCCAGAGCCUCCAGAUGCCGGGGAGGACAGCAAGUCGGAGAAUGGGGAGAAUGCGCCCAUCUACUGCAUCUGCCGCAAACCGGACAUAAACUGCUUCAUGAUCGGGUGUGACAACUGCAAUGAGUGGUUCCAUGGGGACUGCAUCCGGAUCACUGAGAAGAUGGCCAAGGCCAUCCGGGAGUGGUACUGUCGGGAGUGCAGAGAGAAGGACCCCAAGCUAGAGAUUCGCUAUCGGCACAAGAAGUCACGGGAGCGGGAUGGCAAUGAGCGGGACAGCAGUGAGCCCCGGGAUGAGGGUGGAGGGCGCAAGAGGCCUGUCCCCGAUCCAGACCUGCAGCGCCGGGCAGGGUCAGGGACAGGGGUUGGGGCCAUGCUUGCUCGGGGCUCUGCUUCGCCCCACAAAUCCUCUCCGCAGCCCUUGGUGGCCACACCCAGCCAGGUGAGUGGCUGCAUAAAGUGAGUGGAUGUGUAAAGUGGUUCCGUUUCAGCCUUGCCUGGGUCCAUGAUUUCUGUUUUGGGCCCCCUCCUCCAGCAUCACCAGCAGCAGCAGCAGAUCAAACGGUCAGCCCGCAUGUGUGGUGAGUGUGAGGCAUGUCGGCGCACUGAGGACUGUGGUCACUGUGACUUCUGUCGGGACAUGAAGAAGUUUGGGGGCCCCAACAAGAUCCGGCAGAAGUGCCGGCUGCGCCAGUGCCAGCUGCGGGCCCGGGAAUCGUACAAGUACUUCCCUUCCUCGGUGAGUCCAGCCCCCCAGGGUGGGGCGGGGCAUUCGGGCAGGGCGGUCAGGGCCAGUCCUGAGAUUCUGCCCCGCAGCUCUCGCCAGUGACGCCCUCAGAGUCCCUGCCAAGGCCCCGCCGGCCACUGCCCACCCAACAGCAGCCACAGCCAUCACAGAAGUUAGGGCGCAUCCGUGAAGAUGAGGGGGCAGUGGCGUCAUCAGCAGUCAAGGAGCCUCCUGAGGCUACAGCCACACCUGAGCCACUCUCAGAUGAGGACCUACCUCUGGAUCCUGACCUGUAUCAGGACUUCUGUGCAGGGGCCUUUGAUGACCACGGCCUGCCCUGGAUGAGCGACACAGAAGAGUCCCCAUUCCUGGACCCCGCGCUGCGGAAGAGGGCAGUGAAAGUGAAGCAUGUGAAGCGUCGGGAGAAGAAGUCUGAGAAGAAGAAGGAGGAGCGAUACAAGCGGCAUCGGCAGAAGCAGAAGCACAAGGAUAAAUGGAAACACCCAGAGAGGGCUGAUGCCAAGGACCCUGCGUCGCUGCCCCAGUGCCUGGGGCCCGGCUGUGUGCGCCCCGCCCAGCCCAGCUCCAAGUAUUGCUCAGAUGAUUGUGGCAUGAAGCUGGCAGCCAACCGCAUCUACGAGAUCCUCCCCCAGCGCAUCCAGCAGUGGCAGCAGAGCCCUUGCAUUGCUGAAGAGCACGGCAAGAAGCUGCUCGAACGCAUUCGCCGAGAGCAGCAGAGUGCCCGCACUCGCCUUCAGGAAAUGGAACGCCGAUUCCAUGAGCUUGAGGCCAUCAUUCUACGUGCCAAGCAGCAGGCUGUGCGCGAGGAUGAGGAGGUGAGCAAGCAGGGGUGCAGCAGGGCAGGGCCAGUACUUUGUCCUUCCCAGCCUUAUUGUUCCUUCCAUUCCAUGCAGAGUAACGAGGGUGACAGUGAUGACACAGACCUGCAGAUCUUCUGUGUUUCCUGUGGGCACCCCAUCAACCCACGUGUUGCUUUGCGCCACAUGGAGCGCUGCUACGCCAAGUAUGAGAGCCAGACGUCCUUUGGGUCCAUGUACCCCACACGCAUUGAAGGGGCCACACGACUCUUCUGUGAUGUGUAUAAUCCUCAGAGCAAAACAUACUGUAAGCGGCUCCAGGUGCUGUGCCCCGAGCACUCACGGGACCCCAAAGUGCCAGCUGACGAGGUAUGCGGGUGCCCCCUUGUACGUGAUGUCUUUGAGCUCACGGGUGACUUCUGCCGCCUGCCCAAGCGCCAGUGCAAUCGCCAUUACUGCUGGGAGAAGCUGCGGCGUGCGGAAGUGGACUUGGAGCGCGUGCGUGUGUGGUACAAGCUGGACGAGCUGUUUGAGCAGGAGCGCAAUGUGCGCACAGCCAUGACAAACCGCGCGGGAUUGCUGGCCCUGAUGCUGCACCAGACGAUCCAGCACGAUCCCCUCACUACCGACCUGCGCUCCAGUGCCGACCGCUAAGCCUCCUGGCCCGGACCCCUCACACCCUGCAUUCCAGAUGGGGGAGCCGCCCGGUGCCCGUGUGUCCGUUCCUCCACUCAUCUGUUUCUCCGGUUCUCCCUGUGCCCAUCCACCGGUUGACCGCCCAUCUGCCUUUAUCAGAGGGUCUGUCCCCGUCGACAUGUUCAGUGCCUGGUGGGGCUGUGGAGUCCACUCAUCCUUGUCUCCUCUCCCUGGGUUUUGUUAAUAAAAUUUUGAAGAAACC